GUAGUCCACGCCGUAAACGAUGAGUGCUAAGUGUUAGGGGGUUUCCGCCCCUUAGUGCUGCAGCUAACGCAUUAAGCACUCCGCCUGGGGGAGUACGACCGCAAGGUUGAAACUCAAAGGAAUUGACGGGGACCCGCACAAGCGGUGGAGCAUGUGGUUUAAUUCGAAGCAACGCGAAGAACCUUACCAAAUCUUGACAUCCUUUGACCACUCUAGAGAUAGAGUUUUCCCCUUCGGAGGACAAAGUGACAGGUGGUGCAUGGUUGUCGUCAGCUCGUGUCGUGAGAUGUUGGGUUAAGUCCCCGCAACGAGCGCAACCCUUAGGCUUAGUUGCCAUCAUUAAGUUGGGCACUCUAAAGUUGACUGCCGGUGACAAACCGGAGGAAGGUGGGGAUGACGUCAAAUCAUCAUGCCCCUUAUGAUUUGGGCUACACACGUGCUACAAUGGACAAUACAAAGGGCAGCUAAAACCGCGAGGGUCAAGCAAAAUCCCAUAAAGUUGUUCUCAGUUCGGAUUGUAGUCUGCAACUCGACUACAUGAAAGCUGGAAUCGCUAGUAAAUCGUAGAUCAGCAUGCUACGGUGAAAUACGUUCCCCGGGUCUUGUACACACCGCCCGUCACACCCACGAGAGUUUGUAACACCCGAAGCCGGUUGGAAGUAAACCCAUU
rnacentral:rRNA from 1 species